GUAAUCCAGGUCAGUUUCUAUCUAUGAUGCGCCCCCUCCUAGUACGAAAGGACCGGAGCGGGAAGGCCAAUGCUUCCAGCAUGCCUUACUCUCACUUGGUGAAACCAACUAAAGCAAACAAGAGAGCACACCCCUCAUCCCAAGAUAACGGCAU
rnacentral:rRNA from 1 species